rnacentral:rRNA from 1 species
GACGAACGCUGGCGGCGUGCUUAACACAUGCAAGUCGAGCGGUAAGGCCCUUUCGGGGGUACACGAGCGGCGAACGGGUGAGUAACACGUGGGUGACCUGCCCUCAGCUCUGGGAUAAGCCCGGGAAACUGGGUCUAAUACUGGAUAUGACUCCACGGUGCAUGCCGUGGGGUGGAAAGCCUUGUGCGGCUGAGGAUGGGCCCGCGGCCUAUCAGCUUGUUGGUGGGGUGAUGGCUACCAAGGCGACGACGGGUAGCCGGCCUGAGAGGGCGACCGGCCACACUGGGACUGAGACACGGCCCAGACUCCUACGGGAGGCAACAGUGGGGAAUCUUGCGCAAUGGGCGAAAGCCUGACGCAGCGACGCCGCGUGAGGGAUGACGGCCU